rnacentral:rRNA from 1 species
UACGUAGGGCGCAAGCGUUGUCCGGAGUUACUGGGCGUAAAGGGUGCGCAGGCGGCGUCACGCGUGGAUAGUUGAAAUCUCCUGGCUUACCUGGGAGGGUGGUAUCCAGACGGUGGCGCUUGAGGGUCGGAGAGGGGCGUGGAAUUCCGGGUGGAGCGGUGAAAUGCGUAGAGAUCCGGAGGAACACCGACGGCGUAGGCAGCGCCCUGGACGACACCGGACGCUGAGGCACGAAAGCUGGGGGAGCGAACAGG